CAACGGUACCGCCCCGCGGCGUACGGUUACUAUACGUACAACAAUGGGCACGUACGCGCUGCGGGCGGCGGCACAACGUCGCAUCGGCGCGCGACCGGGGAGGCACGGCCUGCGGUGCGUCGGUCCGACCUCCAACACCACCGCUUUUCCCUCCGUCACCGCGCACCCUACCGGUCGCACAGCGCGGCAACGUUGCACCGACAGCCGUCGCCGCCGCCGUGCGCGAGAGGGGCUCCACCAGCACUGCUCUGUUGCCGCGACCGCUGCCGUCAUCGACCUUGGAGACCUCCGAAAUAACAAUUAUUCAUUAUAACCCGGUGGUGCCCCUCUCCCGCGACCGCCCUCUCCGGGUUAUUAUCCGAAACUAUUAUUACGAUUACCGUCGUCUUGUCGUCUUAUUAUUUUUAUUAUUAUUAUUGUCAUUUUACGUUGCACGCGUCGCUCUAUUUCGAUCAUUACCUGGUGAGAAUUUUUUUAGAUCAACCCGAUAACUAAAACAAACUGCCUCGGCACGGUAAAUUUAUUUUUCGUGAACGUGUAAAAAUAUAUUCGCCGUUCAGGAAUUACUAGUAAAUAGCUACGUUUUUUUUUCGUCGCUUUUAGUUACACUGUCAUGGGGAUUUAUCGAUGAAUAGUAAUUAUUUAAUUUUUUAAACCAUCUCGGAUGUCAAAUCUUAGUUUUUCGAUUUCAUUGUAUGAGCUGUUUUAUUUCUAAUCACAUAUUCUAGGUGUGCUUUAAUUUCGAUUUAUUUUUAAAUUUGAGCUAUAUAUUAGGUGAAUAUUUUAGGCUUAUUUUCCUGAUGAAUUGAAAACAAUACAAGAUGGCUUUUGAAAAAAUGAAUGUUAAAUUCAGUGUCGGUUCAUGACUUCCGGCAAAACAUUUACAUUGGGCCCCUAUACAACAUAAUAUUGGAGUGGGAUUCAAAAAUUAGUUUUCUAAAGCUAAUUUUAUCGAAUUAUCAUUGAGUUCGUGCAUGUGAUCGUUAACAACACAUAUCUCAAUUUUUCAAAAUAUUUGUAUUUAUAUUCGUUAGAUUUUGAUCAUGAGAACGAAAACCUAUAGGGCAGUGGUUCCCAAACUGUGAGGCGUACCUCCUUUGGGAAUUGCAAACACUUAUUACAGACGGUGCAAGGCAAACAUUUGUAUUGUAUGUUUCACUACCAUUUAUUUAUCUUAAAGAUUGACAAUAAUGGAAAAAUGAAAAAUAGUGGAGCAUACAUAAAGGCAUCUAGAAGAACUGCACAUCACAAUAAUAGAGAACAUGAUAGAAGGAAAAAGACCACCUGGGCGACCUCACAAUUCAUUUAUCGGAAAAAUCAAGAGAGAUGCAGGAGUCGAAAGCUAUAGGACAUUAAAAGAAAUAGCGAGUGACCGUGAAGAAUGGAGAAGAAAUGUUUCAAAUCAACCACGGAUUGAACAAAAAAGAAAAGUUUUACCGCCAUGACUGAAAAAUGAAAAUGCACUCAAACAUACAGUACAUUAGAUAUCAAGAUUAUUAUUGGUUUCAUCUUUUUUUAUGAAUGGAAAUUAUUUUUGUAAUUUAUCUGUGAAAUUGCAUAAUUGUUUUGGAGCCAUAGUGUUUAACUGUAGGUGGCAUAUAGACUAGGAGAGGACAGAUUUACAAUACGAAAAACAAAUGAAUAUAAAUAAAAAUACCUAACAAUGAGAAUCACUUUAUUUAAAACAUAUUUACAAUUAAACGUGCAACACAGACUACCAAUGUUCGAGCGAACGAAACCACACAAGGGGUAAGAAGUCGGGAAUGAUUCUUAGAAGCCGGUACUAUUUUAUAUCCCGGUCGGGAAUCGAAAGAUAUCGGGACAGAAGAGUGAAAACCGGCAGUGUCACAGCCAAACCCUGACAACCCUACCCUAAUCGAUCAAAAGGGUAACACCACUUCACAACCUGGCACUCUUCUCCAUCAUUCAUCUACGUAUAACAAAGGUAUUACACCUCGUCAGAACUGCCCAAGCAUUUUAAGGAUUUUUUACUAUAAUAAAUUACAGUAAUAACUAUUUAAAAAUUAAAAUAACUGAAUAUGUAGUCUGUAUAA